AGCAGCCGCGGUAAUUCCAGCUCCAAUAGCGUAUAUUAAAGUUGUUGCAGUUAAAAAGCUCGUAGUUGAAUUUCGGGAUCAAUGCGUCGGUCGUGCCUCGGUACGUACUAACGAUAUUGAUUUCUCCCUUCUGACGAACCGUGAUGUCAUUAAUUUGGUGUUACGGGGAGUUAGGACUGUUACUUUGAAAAAAUUAGAGUGUUUAAAGCAAGCAAUCGCUCGAAUACAUUAGCAUGGAAUAAUGAAAUAGGACGUUCGAACCUAUUUUGUUGGUUUCUAGGAUCGACGUAAUGAUUAAUAGGGAUAGUUGGGGGCAUUAGUAUUCAAUUGUCAGAGGUGAAAUUCUUGGAUUUAUUGAAGACUAACUACUGCGAAAGCAUUUGCCAAGGAUGUUUUCAUUAAUCAAGAACGAAAGUUAGGGGAUCGAAGACGAUCAGAUACCGUCGUAGUCUUAACCAUAAACUAUGCCGACUAGGGAUCGGAUGAUGUUAAUUUUUUAAUGACUCAUUCGGCGCCUUACG
rnacentral:rRNA from 1 species